UAGUUUACAAUUUGACACCACUAUCGAUAGUUGUAAAUACUAUCGAAUGGUGACAUUCCUAUUUAUCUAGAAAAUUCAAUUCAAGGAAUUGGCGCUGGGAAUUGGCUUGUGGUUAUUAGAUGUUGGCGGUUGGCUCGAAAAUGGAAAAUUCGGAAGCUUCGCAAGCUUGUAACACGGAGAACAGUCCCGAAGCAGA